UAAAGAAUCCUCGGGUCCGGAUGGGCAUGCGUGGCAUUAGCUUGUUGGCGGGGUAACGGCCCACCAAGGCGACGAUGCCUAGGGGUUCUGAGAGGAAGGUCCCCCACACUGGUACUGAGACACGGACCAGACUCCUACGGGAGGCAGCAGUGAGGAAUAUUGGUCAAUGGGCGAGAGCCUGAACCAGCCAAGUCGCGUGAGGGACGACGGCCCUACGGGUUGUAAACCUCUUUUGCCGGGGGACAAACGGCGGCACGCGUGCCGUCCUGAGGGUACCCGGAGAAAAAGCAUCGGCUAACUCCGUGCCAGCAGCCGCGGUAAUACGGAGGAUGCGAGCGUUAUCCGGAUUUAUUGGGUUUAAAGGGUGCGUAGGCGGGAUGCCAAGUCAGCGGUCAAAUACGGGGGCUCAACCUGCGUCCGCCGUUGAAACUGGCGUUCUUGAGUGGGCGAGAAGUACGCGGAAUGCGUGGUGUAGCGGUGAAAUGCAUAGAUAUCACGCAGAACCCCGAUUGCGAAGGCAGCGUACCGGCGCCCAACUGACGCUGAAGCACGAAAGCGUGGGUAUCGAACAGGAUUAGAUACCCUGGUAGUCCACGCAGUAAACGAUGAACACUAAUUGUCCGGCGGGGUUUGCCGCUGGG
rnacentral:rRNA from 1 species